rnacentral:lncRNA from 1 species
CCAAGAGCCAGGCCCACUGAUGUGGUGAUUGGCGCUCUGGGAAGUGGAGUGGAGGAGGCCGAGUCAUCACUCAUCAUCUCUUGUCUCUCUGAGGUGGACCAGAAUGACACAGGCUUCUCUCCCUAACGUGCCACUGUGAGACCACAGGAGAAGGGAAGUGGAGGACUUCUUCCACUCGAUUCUAACCCACGACAGGUUCUCACUGUGUAGCCCUGGUUGGCCUUGAACUCUGGCAAUCCUUCUGCCUCAGCCUCUCACGUGCUUGGAUUACAGGCUUGCUCAUCUGUUACUGCAACACUCUGUCAUCUUUGUCAAAAGUCAGACCAGCAGGCAAGAAUGAGAAUUGAGAAUCACUGCCCUAACAGGGGUAUUUGACCCUGACCAGUAGAAGAGGAGGCUGCUGUUACAUAACUGGGACAAAGAGGAAUACUUACAGAACUCAGGUGAUCCCUGGGGGCACUUUUUUUUUUUUUUUUGGUACCGGAAUCGAACUUGAGAUCGAACUCGGGUCUUUGAGCUAGAACUUAUUUAAAUAUGCUUCUUUUUUUUUUUUUUUUUGGUACCAG